rnacentral:tRNA from 2 species
UGGGGCAUCGCCAAGCGGUAAGGCACCGGUUUUUGAUACCGGCAUUCCCUGGUUCGAAUCCAGGUACCCCAGCCA